rnacentral:lncRNA from 1 species
GAUUUCUACAACAAUCCCUUUCUUGGCUUUCCUGCUUUCCUUGAUUUGGAAAGGACUCCAGCUUAUGAAAGAAAACGCAAAGAAAGAAGAGACCAUUCCACUGAUUUUGGGAACAAGACAAUAUAAUGAUCACAUCUAUGCUUUACAAAGAAAACUCUGCAUCUAUAUGAAGAAUAAAUGAUGGAGCUAGGCUGGAGAAGUACACUACUUGAAGUCAACAAGAAAGCAGCUGGUGAAAGAUGAUGAGACACUUAUUAGAGGAAGAAGCAGUGAGGAUGGAAGGGAGAGAAAUAUACACUAGAGGCACUGGAAAGUGCAUCACCCACCUUAUUGAGUCAUCAGAUAUGAUAUUCUGAAUUUCCU